rnacentral:rRNA from 1 species
UGGGGAAUAUUGGGCAAUGGAGGGAACUCUGACCCAGCCAUGCCGCGUGCAGGAUGAAGGCGUUAUGCGUUGUAAACUGCUUUUAUAUAGGAAGAAAUAGUCCUUGCGAGGAAAGUUGACGGUACUAUAUGAAUAAGCACCGGCUAACUCCGUGCCAGCAGCCGCGGUAAUACGGAGGGUGCAAGCGUUGUCCGGAUUUAUUGGGUUUAAAGGGUGCGUAGGCGGUUUAUUAAGUCAGUGGUGAAAGACGGUCGCUCAACGAUUGCAGUGCCAUUGAUACUGGUAGACUUGAGUAUGAUUGAGGUAGCUGGAAUGGAUAGUGUAGCGGUGAAAUGCAUAGAUAUUAUCCAGAACACCAAUUGCGUAGGCAAGUUACUAAGUCAUAACUGACGCUGAGGCACGAAAGUGUGGGUAUCAAACAGGAUUAGAUACCCGUGUAGUCCCUGAGCGGGCUGGCAAGGCGCAU